UUAAAUUGAAGAGUUUGAUCAUGGCUCAGAUUGAACGCUGGCGGCAGGCCUAACACAUGCAAGUCGAACGGUAACAGGAAGCAGCUUGCUGCUUCGCUGACGAGUGGCGGACGGGUGAGUAAUGUCUGGGAAACUGCCUGAUGGAGGGGGAUAACUACUGGAAACGGUAGCUAAUACCGCAUAAUGUCGCAAGACCAAAGAGGGG
rnacentral:rRNA from 2 species